GUAGGUGAACCUGCGGAAGGAUCAUUAUUGAAUCCUUAGGAUGUUGCUGGCCUUUCGGGGGCAUGUGCACUCCGCCUUUCAAUACACCUGUGAACUUAUUGUAGGUGCAGAUUGUGCCUAUGUUUUUAACACUCUCAAAAUGUAUAUCGAAUGUCUAAAUAUGGCCUUUGAUGGUCAACAAACUUAAUACAACUUUCAACAAUGGAUCUCUUGGUUCUC
rnacentral:misc_RNA from 1 species